rnacentral:lncRNA from 1 species
GCGUUCAUUCCAGGAGAGAUAGAUUGUUGCUCGCCAAGAGAGUAAGAGGAGCUUUCGAAAUGGAGGAGGACCAGAGAAACCUUUCAGAAUUUUGUAUCCACGGGUAAGCCAAAUCUCUGAGUAGAAUAGUUGAUUAGCCAUCCAAGACUGUUUAUGCCUUGUGUUUAUAACCCUGAGAAUAAGUUAAGUAAUUUCCCUGAAAUUAAUCACCUUGAGGUGUACAAGAAACACAAGAAAAAAUAUUCAAGUUUGAAUCAUAAGUCCAGCAAGAACGUAAGUUAUACGAAUGAUUCCAUCGUCCCACACCUCCGAGGUUCGUUUUCCAGUCACGCGACCAUGCAUUAGGCG